rnacentral:rRNA from 1 species
UACGUAGGGCGCAAGCGUUAUCCGGAAUUAUUGGGCGUAAAGAGCUCGUAGGCGGUUUGUCGCGUCUGCCGUGAAAGCCCGGGGCUCAACCCCGGGAGGCGGAUGGAUACUGCUUGGCUCGAGUCCGGAAGAGGCGAGUGGAAUUCCCGGUGUAGCGGUGAAAUGCGCAGAUAUCGGGAGGAACACCAAUGGCGAAGGCAGCUCGCUGGGACGGUACUGACGCUGAGACGCGAAAGCGUGGGGGAGCAAACAGG